UACAGAGGUCUCAAGCGUUGUUCGGAUUCAUUGGGCGUAAAGCGCGUGUAGGCGGCUCGGUAAGUCUGCUGUGAAAGUCCAGGGCUCAACCCUGGAAUGCCGGUGGAUACUGUCGAGCUCGAGUCCGGAAGAGGCGAGUGGAAUUCCUGGUGUAGCGGUGAAAUGCGCAGAUAUCAGGAGGAACACCAAUGGCGAAGGCAGCUCGCUGGGACGGUACUGACGCUGAGACGCGAAAGCGUGGGGAGCAAACAGG
rnacentral:rRNA from 1 species